UCCUAUUGCUCUCAUCCUCUUCAGCAUUAUAUAUAAAUAUAAAGCUAUAUAGAUAGACACACACAGUGGAACCUUGACUUAGGAGCAUCCCAAGUUAAGAGUGUUUUGAGUUAAGAGCCAUCACUCAGCUCAUGUUUCAGUUUGACAUACAAGCAGCAUUUUGAGUUAAGCACUAGCACCAGUGGGAGAACUAGCACGAAAGUACAGGGCUUUAGGGCUUCAAGGGAGCAGCCUCCAUGCUUCAUGCCUCCAUGCCUCAUGCCUUGUGCUCUUUUCCACUUUGGGAGAUUGCUGUCUGCUUUGCUCUUGUCCACUUUGGAGGAUUGCUGUCUGCUCUUGUCCACUUCGAGGAACUUUGGGCGCCCAAGUUACAUCAAUGGAGACUGCAUCAACACUGGUGUCCAAGUCAGAAUGGAUCUGAGCAACUUUAUAGAGAGCAGCUCUGGCUACAAAGCCAAAAGUGUUCACUUUCGCUUCCUUUAAAAAAAAUCAGCUAAUUCUUACCAGAAUUUCCUCUUCACUGGGCAUUUUCAUAUUGUUUAAUAAUGUUCCCUUGUCAUUUUGCAAAUAUUCAAGCAAUCAAACAGCUGCAAACUCCAUUCUAAGUUUUUUUGAAAUCUAAAGUGUUUGAAGGGACAGUGCUCGUAAAAUUGAAGAAGUAUUUAAUUGCAAUACUCCAGUCUCACAAAACUUUGAAUUUACAGGGUUGCACAAUUAUUCAGGAGAAAGGGAUAAACAGGGGUCAAUGCACGGAUUGAGGUGACAAGUCCCAACAGUUAUGGUAAGCUAAAAGUGCUUACAGUGCUGCAUAGCAAACUCAAGACAAGUCUGCAAUACUAGAUCCA
rnacentral:lncRNA from 11 species